rnacentral:rRNA from 1 species
UAGGGAAUAUUGCAAAAUGGGCGAAAGCCCGAUGCAGCAACGCCGCGUGGGCGAUGAAGGCCUUCGGGUCGUAAAGCCCUUUUUGAGGGGAUGAGGAAGGACAGUACCCUCAGAAUAAGCCUCGGCUAACUACGUGCCAGCAGCCGCGGUAAAACGUAGGAGGCGAGCGUUAUCCGGAUUUACUGGGCGUAAAGCGCGUGCAGGCGGAUUGGAGAGUUGGAUGUGAAAGCUCCCGGCUUAACUGGGAGAGGUCGUUCAAUACCUCCAGUCUUGAGUGCAGUAGAGGGAAGUGGAACUGCGAGUGUAGAGGUGAAAUUCGUAGAUAUUCGCAAGAACACCAGUGGCGAAGGCGGCUCACUGGCUCGGUACUGACGCUGAGGUGCGACAGCGUGGGGAGCAAACA